rnacentral:rRNA from 1 species
AUAUUGGACAAUGGGGGGAACCCUGAUCUAGCCAUGCCGCGUGUGUGAAGAAGGUCUNNNGAUUGNACAGCACUUUAAGUUGGNUGGNAGAGUUGUAGGCUAAUACCUUGUAAUUUUGACGUUACCAACAUAAUAAGCACCGGCUAACUUCGUGCAAGCAGCCGCGGUAAUACGAAGGGUGCAAGCGUUAAUCGGAAUUACUGGGCGUAAAGCGCGCGUAGGUGGUUCGUUAAGUUGGAAGUGAAAGCCCCGGGCUUAACCUGGGAAUUGCUUUCAAAACUGACGAGCUAGAGUACGGUAGAGGGUAGUGGAAUUUCCUGUGUAGCGGUGAAAUGCGUAGAUAUAGGAAGGAACAUCAGUGGCGAAGGCGACUACCUGGACUGAUACUGACACUGAGGUGCGAAAGCGUGGGGAGCAAACAGA